AUUGAACGCUGGCGGCAGGCCUAACACAUGCAAGUCGAACGGUAGCACAGAGGAGCUUGCUCCUUGGGUGACGAGUGGCGGACGGGUGAGUAAUGUCUGGGAAACUGCCCGAUGGAGGGGGAUAACUACUGGAAACGGUAGCUAAUACCGCAUAACGUCGCAAGACCAAAGAGGGGGACCUUCGGGCCUCUUGCCAUCGGAUGUGCCCAGAUGGGAUUAGCUAGUAGGUGGGGUAAAGGCUCACCUAGGCGACGAUCCCUAGCUGGUCUGAGAGGAUGACCAGCCACACUGGAACUGAGACACGGUCCAGACUCCUACGGGAGGCAGCAGUGGGGAAUAUUGCACAAUGGGCGCAAGCCUGAUGCAGCCAUGCCGCGUGUAUGAAGAAGGCCUUCGGGUUGUAAAGUACUUUCAGCGGGGAGGAAGGGAGUAAAGUUAAUACCUUUGCUCAUUGACGUUACCCGCAGAAGAAGCACCGGCUAACUCCGUGCCAGCAGCCGCGGUAAAAGGG
rnacentral:rRNA from 1 species